rnacentral:lncRNA from 1 species
GAUCUAUGGUGCUCAAGAAAGGAUUUUUAAAUUGACAGGCUGAAAGAUACCAGCAUUGGGAGAGUUUAUUAAACCCACAGCCAAUGAACUUGGUUCAGCCAAUGUCUUUAAAAGAAUGAGUGUCUGAAAAGCGGCAGGGCCCUGUAUCGUUUUAGCACUGAAAAAUGAGACAGAGAUUUUGAACAGUGUGAAAUGGACAUUCUGUUCUGCAGUCGAAAGUGUGUGAGAGAGGAAACAGACUGUACCAGAAGAAGAACGAAGAAGAAAGUCUGAACAGGGACAGAUUUAUUCAAAGCGCUGUCUACAGUUCCUUUCAAGACUUCAGAAACUCGAGAACUACUCGGAAUGUGAGCGGACGGGGCAGGAGUGAAGUGAAGGAGAGUAAAAUGGUGGGGAUGAUGCCAGCACUGAAUUCUCGAGUCACGUUACUGAACAUAGUGCAGAAGGAGCAGGAGCCGUUGUCUGUGCUGUGCUUCUGGGGACUCAGAGACAUGCUGGGCCAGUCUUUUUGGCUGUGGGUCUUAACCUCAUAGAAUCCAUUUUGUCAUCUGUAACAUCGGUAUGAUAACAUGUACCUCACAGUACCGCAGUGAGAAUUCAAUGAAAUAAUGUCUACAACGUGCUCAAUGCAAUAAAUGCCACAUCACAGGGGCUUAUAGCUAGAUG